UGUUGAGGAGAAGGCUGUGCAGCAGAGAGGCUGCUUAGUCUUUUCAUUCUGCUGAACUUUGUUCAUCUGCUGUGUGACUUCAACACCUGAAACAUGUUCCUUUACCUGUUUGUACUUUUCUCUCACUGCAUAGCUUUGGGCUCCAUGAACAGCAUAAAGCAGGAACGUGCUGAAGAAGCUGUUACAGAGGGAGGAAACAUCAACCUGACCUGUACAUAUGAUGGUUCUAUCUACAAUAUCCAGUGGUACCGACAAUACCAGAGAUCCAGACCAGAGUUCCUGCUCUCCAUCACAGAGGGAGGAUCAGUUCAUGAAGCUGUGUCGGGAUUCUCAGCUCACAUUGACAAAACAGAGAAACGUGCAGAUCUGGAGAUCUCCUCUGCUGCAGUGACAGACUCUGCUGUGUACUACUGUGCUGUGAGGCCCACAGUGACAGGAAACACCAAAACUCUGUACAAAAACCUUUGGAGCAAAGACAACAGAAUACUCCACAACAUCCACUAGAGGGAGCCACACACUGUUAAACCACUGAUUCUUGU